rnacentral:tRNA from 1 species
UAGGGGUAUAGUUUAAUGGUAAAACAGCGGUCUCCAAAACCACUGAUGUGGGUUCAAUUCCUGCUACCCCUGU